CCCUGCACAGUGGGGUUUCUGGCAGGAAGGCAGGCCGGCCAGGCCCUCCGUGUCUUCCAAGGCCACCGACUUUUCCAGGACCACGCCUCCGAGCCGGGCUGCAGUGAGGAAGGGGCGGGCGCAGCCGCCUGCGCCCCUCCCACCCGGCUUGAGGGCCACGCCCCCGCAUGUGCGCAGGCGCGUGGGUCUCCCAGGCAACCGGGUGUCCAGCAGGGCCCCUCCUGGGGUUAACGUCGGAGGAGGAGAGGUAAACACGUGCUGAUCUUUGAAGAGGAGACCUGGGAACGGACACCAGGCCUGCCUUUGCGGCGUGAGCCCAGCGCCGUGGACACAGACGACCGACACCGGCAGCCGACGCGCUGGAGGCACAGUCCUCGCCCGGAAGGGCCGGCCUGGUGGACGGACAGACGGCGGCGGCGGGGGGUGGGACUGGGGACCGGCCGCCAGCGGCCCAGGGAGCAGCACCCCCUCACCCGCGAGGGCAGGGGCGGCAUCCCGGUCAGCCCCUUCCCGAGGACUCGCCCGGGGCUUCACGGAGGUGUCGCCCAUCCCCGGCCCGCCCCCCUGCACGCACGGCAACCAGACCUGCGUAGUUCUCCGGGUUCCUCCUCCUCCGGACCGCGGCUUCUCUCCCGCGGAACCCCGCCCGCCGCCACGCGACCUGCAGCGCCCCCUAGGGGCGGCGGCGGGCAGCUGGUGUGCGGAGCCCCCUGCUUGGUGCACGCGGGCGUUUCCGGGGCGCCGGGAGCGCCCCUUCUCUGGACGGACUCACGCUGAAGGCCAGUGUCUCGGGCCAGCACUUUCCCAUCAGUGCGCCCGGAGAGCUUCUAAGACGCGCAACACCUGACUAGUCAGGGUGCUGACCUCUUUCCCCGUAGCCUGUCCAGUAAAAAAAGAGUGACACCAGCCAACACAGCAGUAGUCGCCCGUUGUGAAUGAAUCAAAAUGAUACAUUUUUUUUUGUCAGAUGGGCAAAAAAGAAUUUUUUUGGUGUGCUAAGUUUAAUAACUAGUUUACAUAUGCCAUGAGAUGAAAAAGGUCGAAAACCGCUGUUUUAUGUCUAUGCCAUGAUCUAUUAAAAAUCUGUACUUGG